rnacentral:rRNA from 1 species
AAGAUGGCGACCGGCGCACGGGUGAGUAACACGUAUCCAACCUGCCGAUAACUCCGGAAUAGCCUUUCGAAAGAAAGAUUAAUACCGGAUGGCAUACGAGUAUCGCAUGAUAUUUUUAUUAAAGAAUUUCGGUUAUCGAUGGGGAUGCGUUCCAUUAGUUUGUUGGCGGGGUAACGGCCCACCAAGACUACGAUGGAUAGGGGUUCUGAGAGGAAGGUCCCCCACAUUGGAACUGAGACACGGUCCAA